rnacentral:rRNA from 1 species
ACGGGAGGCAGCAGUGGGGAAUAUUGCACAAUGGGCGCAAGCCUGAUGCAGCGAUGCCGCGUGAGGGAAGAAGGUUUUCGGAUUGUAAACCUCUGUCAACAGGGACGAAAAUGACGGUACCUGUGAAGGAAGCUCCGGCUAAAUACGUGCCAGCAGCCGCGGUAAUACGUAUGGAGCAAGCGUUAUCCGGAUUUACUGGGUGUAAAGGGAGCGUAGACGGCAAAGCAAGUCUGAAGUGAAAUCCCGGGGCUCAACCCCGGAACUGCUUUGGAAACUGUUUAGCUAGAGUGCAGGAGAGGUAAGCGGAAUUCCUAGUGUAGCGGUGAAAUGCGUAGAUAUUAGGAGGAACACCAGUGGCGAAGGCGGCUUACUGGACUGUAACUGACGUUGAGGCUCGAAAGCGUGGGGAGCAAACAGGAUUAGAUACCCUGGUA